ensembl:lncRNA uncharacterized LOC107697900
AAACACUCUCCCUCUGCCUUUGUAAUUUUAACCUAGAAUGUCGGUGACGACAGUCUCUUGCAUGGAGACCACGAAUGCCGGAAUAAAUCUGACAUUAUGACACCAGACACCUGGCAGGUCUGACAUCGCAGGGGUAAAUACUUAGAGUUACUAUAAAGCCCCGGGGCCCCCUCAGGACUACAGUUGUUUACCCCUGAGCUCCGGACAGGAUCGUAGGGCCGGACAGAGGAAACAUUUAAGAUCCAAUACGCAGGAUUUUUACGUCACGCCGUUGGAAGCAAGCCUUCACGGUCUUUGCACAGUUACAUCCCAUUUGGGUACAGGAGCUGUCAAAGGCAAGGCGGUACUGAAACAAGCAAGAUCUUGAUUUAAGCAACAAACCUGUACUUGAACAGGUUACUCAUAUUCUACUCAUAUUCUGGAGCACCUGUUUCAAUUCAUCAAAAACUCAUGAGAGGGAGUUACUGGAGGAACAAAUAAUAAGAUUUAACCGAGGUAUUGGUGGACUUGCCAAUGUGGUCACUCCAGUGACCUUUCAGGAAUUGCAGCGUAAGAUUCUGAGCACAGGCACACAUACACAGAAGAAUGGCUGCAUUGGAAUUGCACUGUGGGCCGGAGCCUGGGAGUUGUGUGUGGGGUGGAAACAGAGCUGACCUGCUUGACAGUUUUGACUCCGAGAUGCAGGAAUGGGAAGAUCAGCUACAGGACAUGCAGAGGAAGAUUGAAGAGUUGUAUAAUGAGGUCAAAGCACGAAGAGAAGCCAGCGAGAGCAGCACAAACAACAUCACAAACAAUAAAAACCUGGACAUUACUUUGCUUCCUGUCAACUCUCAGUAUAGCCACCAGGCCAAUGGUUAUCACGAACCUCAUGGUCACCCCAACAACAGCCUCCCAAUUUGUCAAUGCAGUGAAAUAAAAGCAGAUCCUUCAGUUAUGCAAAGCCUUGGGUUUCACCACCCCAGUGAAUACUGUAAUGGCUCCAACAAUUGCAUGCUUAAUUCCCUGAGCAACGACAGCCAUUACCCUGCCAGUUGUCAUGCUUUUGAAAGGCAAGAUGCCACCGUAGACAUACUCAAUGGAUACCUCCAACAGGGUCCACAUUUUAGAAGGAACCCAGGGAAUCUUGGAGCUCCAAAUAGAAACCCCAAGGUAUAUCCAGUUACACACAGUUAUCAAGAUAGCAUGAAGACCAGCCUGGCGACAAACAGGACUGCCUCGUGUGUGGUUCUGGAUGAGAUUGAGGAGGCUGAGAACAAAAAGAACAAGAAAUCAAGUUGGGAUGACUCCCAAGCCCGCCACGUUAGCUGGAAAGACCCGGUUUCAUCAAAUGACCUUCCCCCUAAAAAUUCAGCUUCCAAACUGGCAAUCAGACAGAGAGAUUCUUCUCCUGUAACCCCUCGUUCCACUUACCAUGAGUCAUCACAGCAACCUGACAGGAAAUGCCUCUUUCUUGACAGGAAAUCUGGCAGCCCAUCAGUGUUGCGUAAGUUUGGUGCCAUGUUGCAGGAGAAUGAGGGAAAAACCCUGAUAGAGGAUGGUCUCGUGACCACCGUUGUCUCUGCUGAACCUCCGAGGCAAACCAGCACUCCCAUUUGCCAGAGCAAGUUUGAUGACAGGCGGGCAUCCUCACGCACGCACGUCCAGAAAUGCCGUGCAGACUGUGAUGUACUGGUAGCAGAUCUGGAGUUUUGGGCAGCUGGUCCUUCUAGACACCUCCUCAAUGGAGACAGAGGCAGUGGGAGGGGUGGUUGUGUUCUUGAACAGCGUGGCUUGGCCUGUAACUUAAGCCAGUCACAGCCUCACCUUAAUUCGGGGUAUCACAAGGUGGCUUCAAUGUCUAAAGCCCACAAAGCGGGCUUCCAGAGGGAGGACCUAUUCUCUGACUGCCAGAUGGUAGAAAGGAUUCUGGGAGUAGGAUCUCAAAACUUCAAUAAGGUACACAGAGGACUUGGUGUCAAAAUGAUGAGACGGGGAAAUGACAACUUGGAGCAACUUCUGGAAAUGAUGGAAAUAGAGAACAACAGAAGUCAGAGGGCCACAUUCACCCAGCAACUGGACAACAAGCAGGUCAACCGGGAGUCAUCUCCUGCACCUAGCAGUAGCCAUUUUUCUCGUCCUGCUCGACCAGCCAAUCAACGCCGUCCAUCCAGAUGGGUUAAGCAUACUCACCCAAGCAAAAUCGCCCACACAUCCGGCCCAACAAGCCCUGGCCUGAAUGCCAAACAAUUAUUGAAUUCAUAUUCCCGACACACAGAAACUGUCAUCAUGUGACCAGGAUACAACGAGCUUUAAAGGACACUUUCACCCAAUGGCAUAAACUAAACUUUGACCUUUUGUAGAACACGAUCUACUUUUUUGUAUAUAUAACCAACACCACCACAGGAAAGUACCUUAUUGCAGCCCACUAGAAUGCCCUGUGGUAUUUUCCUUAAAUAACUUCAAAAGGUUACUGCUUUCAUUUAACUCUGCGCUGUUUGAAGUGCUUUGGAAAGAAACUCCAGUGGACAUUCUCUAACCUGGUGAACUUCUGUGCCUAUGAACCCUUCAUUGCCUUUUCUCUUCAUUUCUUUCUGUCAUUCUCAUUAAAUUUUCUAUUCUUUUAUUCUGUUAUCUAUUUUCCAGAGUGCUUUGUGUACAGUGCAGUUCUUGCGGUGCCAUGUAGGACAUUUUUUGUAACCAUAUAUGCAUGUUUGCAACAGGCAUAACGUAUUUAAACAUACAUGGCAACGAGUUAUUGAGCCUUAUCUAUUAUGCAUAAACUGUAAAGGCGUGUGCAAACGUUUUGAUGUUCUGUCAUAAAGUCCAUUUCAGUAUUGGAUUAGUGCUUCAUAAUAUUGACAUGAUAACGGGCUCAUAAUGUUUUUUUUUCUUAUAAAGCCUUAUUUGACUGCACCUGACGUGGGCUGUAACUACUCGGUGUAUGGUAACAUGUCUGCAUUCUCCAGCCUUGUAAAAAAAAAAAAUAAGCCAAAUGAAGUGAAUUAUUCUUUAAGUUCAACAUCUGUGAAAAGUACAUUAUAUCUUUUGACAAUAAUAUAAUGAAGAAAUGCUUUUGGAAUGUUUAUUUAUUAUUGUGAUAUGUGACCCUUACAAAAAUG